rnacentral:tRNA from 1 species
AAGGGUAUAGCUCAGUGGUAGAGUGCGGGUUUAACAUGCACAAAGUCCUGGGUUCAAUCCCCAGUCCCUCCA